GGAGAGGUGGCUCAGAGGUUAAGAGCACUGGCUUCUCUUCCUAGAGGACCUGGCUUCAAUUCCCAGCAUCCUCA
rnacentral:tRNA from 1 species